rnacentral:lncRNA from 1 species
CUCUUUGUCUGGUGAAGACACAGAAGAAAUCACUGUAAGAAUGAAGUACAAACUCUUUUUAAAGAAUCUUUUCCACUCCGAUGCUGUCUUUGACAUAAGUUUACAAUGUUGAAAGGAAGAAAGAGCUCGAUGACCCGGCAGGUUCUGCAGAAUCCAGAAGUUUCUGAGCAAGGAUAUUUAAAAAAAGUUAUGAACGGAUUUCAGUGAAACUUGGACAUCAGCCAAGCCCUGAACUCUUUGUCUUUUUGUAUACUCCAUCACCGACAUCAUCCUCCUCCUCCUCCGUGUCGCCCUUCACUGUACGCGGCCGUGCCAAGAUGAUUGUUCACGCUGGGGUUUGGAAUUUUUGCAUCUCCUGCUGUCGUCAACACAAUAUUGGAGGCAGACGGAGCCAAAACAAUAACACAGAGCACUGGCCAUCAUGUUUCAACACCAGCAGAAACUCAUUCUUUUAGCUGUGUUUGUUGAUAAUGUCUCCUCAAAAUAGGCUUAAAGAAUAAUUAAAGAACAUGAAUGAAUGUGUCCAAUAAAUUAAAG